rnacentral:snoRNA from 1 species
ACCUGCGUCGAAAGUGAUUUUGGUCUUGUUUGUGGCCUGGUCAUUGAUAGCGCAGGAAGAUAAUUCUUGACAGCAUUUCCCGUGUUUGGAGGAUCAGUUUAAGUCCCUACCAGACCCUGAGCUUUUCAGACA